GACGAACGCUGGCGGCGUGCUUAACACAUGCAAGUCGAACGGAAAGGCCCUGCUUUUGUGGGGUGCUCGAGUGGCGAACGGGUGAGUAACACGUGAGUAACCUGCCCUUGACUUUGUGAUAACUUCAGGAAACUGGGGCGAAUACCGGAUAGGAUCUCCUGCUGCAUGGGGGGGGUUGGAAAGUUUCGGCGGUUGGGGCUGGACUCGCGGCUUAUCAGCUUGUUGGUGGGGUAGUGGCUUACCAAGGCUUUGACGGGUAGCCGGCCUGAGAGGGUGACCGGCCACCUUGCGCCUGCGAUACGGCCCAGACUCCUACGGGAGGCAGCAGUCGGGAAUAUUGCACAAUGGGCGGAAGCCUGAUGCAGAAACGCCGCGUGCGGGAUGACGGCCUUCGGGUUGUAAACCGCUUUCGCCUGUGAUGAAGCGUGCGUGACGGUAAUGGGUCAAGAAGCACCGGCUAACUACGUG
rnacentral:rRNA from 1 species